rnacentral:rRNA from 1 species
AUACGUAGGGGACAAGCGUUAUUCGGAUUUACUGGGCGUAAAGGGCGCGUAGGCGGUUUUGCAAGUCAGAAGUGAAAUUCCUGAGCUCAACUCGGGCGUUGCUUCUGAAACUGGAAGGCUUGAGUGCUGGAGGGGAUAGCGGAAUUCCACGUGGAGCGGUAAAAUGCGCAGAUAUUAGGAAGAACACCGGUGGCGAAGGCGGCUAUCUGGACAGAAACUGACGCUGAGGCGAGAAAGCGUGGGGAGCAAACAGGAUUAGAUACCCUGGUAGUCCACGCCGUAAACGAAGAAUACUAGGUGUAGGGGGUAUCGACUCCCUCUGUGCCGCAGUUAACACAAUAAGUAUUCCGCCUGGGGAGUACGGCCGCAAGGUUGAAACUCAAAUGAAUUGACGGGG